rnacentral:rRNA from 1 species
UACGUAGGGGGCUAGCGUUGUCCGGAAUCAUUGGGCGUAAAGCGCGUGUAGGCGGCCCGAUAAGUCCGCUGUGAAAGUCCAGGGCUCAACCCUGGGAUGCCGGUGGAUACUGUCGGGCUCGAGUCCGGAAGAGGCGAGUGGAAUUCCUGGUGUAGCGGUGAAAUGCGCAGAUAUCAGGAGGUACACCAAUGGCGAAGGCAGCUCGCUGGGACGUGACUGACGCUGAGACGCGAAAGCGUGGGGAGCAAACAGG